UACGUAGGGUGCAAGCGUUGUCCGGAUUUAUUGGGUUUAAAGGGUACGUAGGCGGCUUUUUAAGUUAUGGGUGAAAUCCCACAGCUCAACUGUGGAACUGCCUGUGAUACUGACUAGCUUGAGUGCGGUUGAGGCAGCUGGAAUUGGUGGUGUAGCGGUGAAAUGCAUAGAUACCACCAGGAACACCGAUUGCGAAGGCAGGUUGCCAAGCCGUAACUGACACUGAGGCACGAAAGCGUGGGGAUCAAACAGG
rnacentral:rRNA from 1 species